ACUUGAAAGCAGUGUGGGUUAUAUCUCGAGGCAUGUCCUCUAGGAACUUUGUCUGCAAUUUAUCAAGAGAUUUCCUGUGAUCCCACACUGGUUAUAUUUAAGAGGAGUCUGUGAGUGGCCCUCAGAUGAUUAGUACCUAUCAUCUUUCUUUUGAGGAAGAAGCUACUCUUUAAACUCUGUGAUUGACGCACAUGGACUCUGGACGUCUGGGGAGUUUAAGGAGGAGAGCAAUUGCUUUUGAAGAAAAGGUGGCAUCUGGGUAGCACAGGUGCAAGGUAGCUGGGGCUGCAAGGUGGCAGAUGGUUUGGUCCUCUGAAGACAAAUUAGGGAACCCAGAAGAUGACAGAUGGGCAGAUGUUGGGUGAUUGUGAAAGGAGUUUGCCCAGGUAAAACAGAUUUUUUUUAUUUGGGCUGAGCAUAAGGAUUUCACCACUAUUUAUUAACUGCCUUUCAAACUUUGCCCACAAACACAGUGGGAAUCUCUUUGUGGCAGAUUAGUUUGAAAAAUAUCUCCAGCAAUAAAAAGAAGAGAAGGGAGAGGCCAGGCAGAUCUAUCAUCCCUUACCUGCAAUUCCAAAAUGUAAAACAGCUCUGAAAACUUUUAAGUUUUUUUUUUUUUUAAGAUUUUAUUUUUCAGUAAUCUCUACACCCAACAUGGGGCUCGAACUCACAACCCUGAGAUCAAGAGUCACAGGCUCUACCGACUGAACCAGCCAGGAGCACCUGAAAACUCAUUUGGGGGCACUUGGGUGGCUCAGUAGGGUGAGUCCCAGUCCCAUAGCCCCUGCAGUGUCCUUGCAGGGGGCCGGAGCUGGAGGAUUGACAUACAUAGAUUCAUAGUCCCCAUUCUUACGGAGGCGCUCCUGAGUUUCCCAGACAGCUGCAGCAGCCGCACAGCCUCGGAAGUAUUGGUGUCACCCAGGACGCAGCACCAGGCAUCUUCUCACCUUGCCCUUGUUCUACUCAGAAUCUCUGGCAACUGUUCAAGGUCUUCUGCUUAUACUUCCAGAUGACAAUCCUCCUUUGGGGUGAUGAAAGAGGCCUGGGAAGUCCCUUCCUAUUUACCGAGGAAGCAUGGUCUUGUCUCCUGGGAAUAGAAUCCAUAGCCUUUCUGUGAUGGAAAGUGCCAUGGGUCAGAGGUCCCACCGUGCCACCAACUCUCAGAGUGACAGGGGUCAGUUGCUUCUUUUGUAUGCACCCAAUUUCCCCACCUGUAAAAUUAAGGGACCGAGAUGCAUAGUCCUCUGUCUCUGAUAGUCUGGACAAGUGAAGGCAGCCUUGUGUUCCUUUGAGAAGGCUCCAAAACUAAGCUCUAGACUUCUCCUCAAAGAUGUGUAAUGUCUGCUUGGUGUUGCCUCUAACCUCCCCCCACCUGAGUGUGCCCAACUAUGACGAACAAGUUGGAAAUGGAGAACUUUGGUGCUGAGAAGAUGUCAGGUAGAUUGUUAGAUGUAUAACAAAGUAUGCAGUGGAAUUAGACAUUAGCAGGGCUUUUUAUUUUCCUUUAAAGCUGAUAAAAAUGACUACUUUGAAAGGGCCAUGUUAUGGGCAGACUAAAUGUAUAUUUUGAAAGAGACCACUCAGUACUUCCACUUGUCAUAUGGGAAGAGAAAGACCUUCUUUCUCUGGGCUGAGGGUGUUGUGUGUCAUGGAGAUUCCUGGGGAUUGGGUCAGGUGAGGGUGGACAGCCAGAUGAAGGAUGCCCCAAGAGGACCCUAUCUUUGGAAGAUACCUGGGAACCAGGAGAAAUGAGCAUCACAAGGGAUUCUGCAGAAAGGCUGAGCCUGGGAGCUCUCUGAGGAGAUGUGUGGAGCAGCAGUGGAGGAGAGAUUCCUGCUCGUGGAAAAAGGGGCCGAUGGGAGAGCCAGGUCUUCAGGCAGAGGACCCCACAGCAGUGCUCUGGCAGGGCUCAGCCCAGCCACCAGUAGAGAGAUGCCCUCACAAAGACACUGGGCAGAGCCAGCAGCACUGCUGUGGCCAAAGACGAGUGAGGAGCCUGUCUGGAAGCUUGUCUGAAGCCUGGCUCCAGAGCCCACGAAGGAUGGCACUUGGGAACACCCUACAAACAUCAGGGAGCAGACCUUCAGAGAGAGACCGGAUUCCCUGCAUUGAGAGGGCAAGGGCUGGGGUAGAACAGGAAGUGGUCCUUCCUUUACAACUAGAGGGCUGGCAAGACUGGAGUCGUGAGAGCUGCUCCUCAUAGCAUUUACUCUGCAGCACACAGAGAUACUGCGCAGAACAGGGCAAAGAGCCGAUUACAAGAGCAAAAUGUACAGGAUCAGUACUUCUGGUAUAUUUACGGAACUGCUGCUGUGGUUAUCAUCAUUGCUAAUGAUCCAUCAUGGGAAUGUUUUCAUGACCUGUGGCCCAAUUUACAUGGAUCCUUUUGUUGACUUCUGCUUCAUAACUAGGAUACCAUUGUCCAAGCCUGUCUUUCACAUUUGUUGGGCCCAGGCCAACAGUGCAAAUGGAGGCCAACAUACUUAAAUAUUAUAAAUUCAGCUAACAGCAGUGUGAAUUAUUUAGUAUUGCAAAAUGCUCCUUAGCCACCAUACAUAUGCAACUGGUAUGAAUGCAGCACUAAUUAGUGACAGCACCUGGAACACACAUGGGAUCACAAAGAGAAGCAAAAAGUGGAUGCUCAGCACUAGUGGGAAAUUAUAUUCUGUUGUGCAAGAAUCUAUUGUAUUCAUGCUCUCUGAGAGCAAGGAUUGGGUAAAUCCAUUGUGUUUCUUUAUCUCAGCACACUGCCCACCUCCCAAGCUGCCUGCCUUUAGCCAUCAGUAAUCACCUUUGUUUUGAGACUACAGAACAAAGGGUUUGGAAUUGUUUGCGGGGGCAGGGGGCUCUCAGUGGUGCUCAUCAAGAAGGUAGAUGUUUACUUAGGUUUUGUGCUUGUAAUGUGUAGGGUGCUCAAAAGCAUGGAGUCACUUUGUUGGGUCAGCAUUAUUUUAUUUCAUUUUAUUUCAGUUUUGACUUUAGAUACAGAAAUUUUAGUUCAACAUACUCCUCGGUUCAUGGUACAACGCAAACUUCAGUGUGUCCAAGGGCCUCUUAAUACUGAAUGUGAAAUUCAGAGUUAGUUUUUCAGAGAACUAUCAAAUUAGCCUAAAUGCACUGCUAAGAUGAUGGUUUGCAUCUAUUUAGAGAAAUUCGACUUAAAAUUAAUUUAAGACAGACUCAGUUUAACUCUUAGAUUUUUUUUUUUGUCGAAACAGGUUUCAGGUUUUUUCUUUAAUAUCAGAUAAUAAGUGAUUGAGGAUCAGAAGGAUCAAUACCACUGGAUGUAGAUAAGUGUGUAUAGAGGCAGGUGUCUAGGUCCCCAUGAGGAAAAUACAGGGAACCAAGGAAAAGGUGCCAGACUUGUGGGCUGGGCUGCCUGUGUGUGCAGAGCAUGUGGCACAGCUCAUCCUUCAUCCCCAUCACUGGCUUGACCAUUGUGGCUAUCCUGGCAGUCAGCCACUUCUGGUCUCCCUGGCCAGCAUGCAUGGGCCUUCCAAUCCCUGUGUUUCCUGCCCCCAGCUGUCCAUUCAGCCAUUGUAGCUAGGCACCAUUUGAGCCUUGACAGGGUUUCUGGUAUCCCCUCAAACCCCAGGGGCCUGCAUGCCCUGUGUGCCCACCUCCCCAAUCUUAUCCCUACUGUCUUUCCUGGAGGCCAAGGCCCUGCUUGUGGAAGUUCUCCCUUGGCUGUCAACUGCAGCAGUGGAGAAUGUCCCUACGAGUGAGAGCACUACCACAAGCUGGCCUUGGGUGGCAGCCAUGGGAGUGUGCAGCUCACCUUCCCUUCAGGAGGGAGGCAGUCGAUAGGAGCUUCCAGCUGUAGCGCCCUCUGGAUCUGUGUCUGUGUUUGAACCAUGGCCAUACUUUCCCAGGCAGCAACAACCAAUGACUAUGUCCAGUGGAGGCACUAGGACCUGACAAUAUCUGUCCAGUGCAGGACUCCUCUAAUGACCAAUCUGUGUUCUAGAGCUCCCAAUUAGGCUGGCCAAGAUUAUCCUGGGGCUGUACAGCUCUGAGGCUCUUUCUAUUUAAUUUUCCUUCCACUCAUCUCCUUUCACAGUGAUCAGAAAUGCACUGUGGUCUGAAGGCUCUCGCUGCCAACUCCUGUUCAUUCCUGCCUGUUCUCCUUCACAGUCAUCUCCCCAAGUGAAUCUCUUGCACUGCCAACUCUAUCCCAACAUCUGCUUCCUGGAGGAUCUGAACAGACAUAACUUGUGAGAAAGUCUGUGUUAGAGAAACCAUAUGUGGCUUUUCAGCUGUUGGCAGAGAAGGAGAAAAAUGCUUUAAGGGAAGGGUGAGCCAACAGUGGCCUUCGCAGAACCACUUGCCUAUAAGAACAUGGCUUGAACAGAAAAUAAAAUGGAGAAAAUGUGGGGGCCCCUUGAUUUCUGUGCUUUCCUGGGUGUAGACUCUUUUCUGUACAAAGUAUAGGAAGUUUGGGAUCCAGGUCUCAUACUCAUCUCCUUCCUUUGCCAUCAUCCUCUUCCUCUCCAUCCUCCCCACCACCUGCAAGGGCUUUCAACAGGUGGGGUGCAACAGGGAAGAAACUGGCACUGAGGCCCUCUUUUCAUUUGGCCAACCUUCCUACAUAUAAAUUUAUAUGUGUUGUUAAUUUCUUGUGCAAAUAUCUCUUAAUUGUCUGGCUUCCUCUAUAGAAUGUAAGCCCUAUAAGCAAAGGGACCCUGUCUAUCCCAUUUUCAGCAUUGAUUCCCUAGAACCAAAAAAUAGUGUCUGAAACAUAACAGCUACUCAGUAAUAUUGGUUGGUGAAUAAAUGAGUGAGUGAAUGGAGGGUGGACCAUAUUUUUGUGCUUCCAGCAGCUAAAAAAGCAAACCAAGAAAUUAAAUGUGUCUCAAUAGUUUAGUAUGCUAGCCAAAAAUUAGAUCUCCCAUGGCCACCUUUCUAAUGCAUAUGGUCCCUGGGGUGUAUCUAUUCACGCCCUUACUCCAUCACUGAGCAAUCUCUCUCUCCCAAAUAGUGGCCCCACUGCUGGAGAUGCCAUUCUUGUAUUCAAGAUGCUUUAAAAAAAUUCCUUGUAAGAAGCCUGUUCCCCAACCCCCUGUACUCAGACUUCCCCAGAAUGCUAAAGCCAGUUCUGUCUGUGUUGGCCAACAUGUUUAGGGUGCCCUGCAAUUGCUCCCAACUCAGGAAAGCAUGUUAGAUGACAUUCCACAGGGUGCUCCUCCCAUCUUCUUUCAUUUAAAUAAUUACAAGUCUCUUCUCCUGAAAGAAGUUCCCCAUGGGGCAAAGUCCUUUGGAAGGUGAUCCAAGCCUGGCUUUGCUGAUGUGCACUCAGACUUUAAAAACCAUCCUCUAUCAAUUAUCUCAGGCACUGGAGAUGCCAAUAAGUAAUUAUUUGUCUAAACCAAGAGGAAAAACAAUAGAUACACUCAAGAGUUGAGUUUCACUCAAGACUCACUGGGCUUUCAGAGUGGAGGAGGGAAGGCUCUGUGUAUGCUUAUCUUCACCAAGGACCAAAGGAGACAAUGGGUUGAAAGGGCAGUGAGUCCCAAUGACUGCUGAGCAGUAGCUCCUUUUUUAUUUUUAUUAUUAUUUUUUAAUGUUUAUUUACUUUUGAGAGAGAGAGAGAGAGACAG